UCCAGACUCCUACGGGAGGCAGCAGUGGGGAAUAUUGCACAAUGGGGGAAACCCUGAUGCAGCGACGCCGCGUGAGUGAAGAAGUAUUUCGGUAUGUAAAGCUCUAUCAGCAGGGAAGAAAAUGACGGUACCUGACUAAGAAGCCCCGGCUAACUACGUGCCAGCAGCCGCGGUAAUACGUAGGGGGCAAGCGUUAUCCGGAUUUACUGGGUGUAAAGGGAGCGUAGGUGGCAUGGUAAGCCAGAAGUGAAAACCCGGGGCUCAACCCCGCGGAUUGCUUUUGGAACUAUCAGGCUGGAGUGCUGGAGGGGUAAGCGGAAUUCCUAGUGUAGCGGUGAAAUGCGUAGAUAUUAGGAGGAACACCGGUGGCGAAGGCGGCUUACUGGACAGAAACUGACACUGAGGCUCGAAAGCGUGGGGAGCAAACAGGAUUAGAUACCCUCGUACCA
rnacentral:rRNA from 1 species